CAGACAUCAAUAUAAAAGAGAGAAUUCGCCUUAGAUGUGGCUUUAACUCACCUGUUCUGUAGUGAAUUGUUGUUUUCAUGUCCGUUGAGGGAAAUUGUUCGGUUAAAAACAAAAACGCUCGUCUCAAUUCACAUAAUUAUGAACUAUUCUGUGCCAUUUUGGACUAUAAAUUAUCAGUAGAUCAUAUUUCACACAAAAAUAAAAGCACUAACAUGAUUAAGAGCACUUUAAAUAGCCGAAUAACACACUUAUUUAUUCAACCGUUAAAUAAUAAGGGUGUAAUUUUGAACACUUCAUUCACUUAACGGUCGGUUUUGCUUACGUCACGUCGAAGGGGCGGAGCUAUCAGACGCUGAUGUUGGAUUACUUCAUUAUUUUAUUGUGAACGCAAAAUUCACCCACAUAAGGGAUUAUGGCGCCACCCGAUGGUAAAUGCGGGUGUACUCAUGAAAAAAGCUGAAAAACGGAGACUGAGAAUGAGAGAAGAACUCUUAAAGAGAAAAUGGAUAGAGGAUAUCAGGAUUUUACAAUAAAAGGUUUAUUAAAAGAUGGUUUAUAAUUAGGGAGACAAAUAAAGGCAAUUAUAAGAUUCAUUUGGAAUAACGAAUUAUACAUUAGAAUUUAGGAAACCAGAUCAGCGUCUUCACACUCCAUCACAGUAGGGGGCGAUAUGCACCCCGGUUCGCAACUCGACAUAAAACGAAGAAGAAGAAGACGUUUAAAGUUUGCGUCUAUAUCCUCCGAUCUGCAUCGCAAACUCCACACCAACGAAAUGACUUUUUGAAAGCCUUCAUCUUCCAAGCAUCUGAGAAACUCCCACAACAAGAAAGAGAGAGAGAAAUUAAACUCAGAUGAACAACUCACACACACCAGGUCAGACUGGAAAGAUCCGACUGCAUCUCUUGACUUCUCGCCUUUAUUCUUCAUAUUUUGGGUCUGUUUCAGAGUUAAACAGGUCUGAUGGAGGAGACAUGCCGUCAUGUUAAAACAGAGGAGAAAACUGGCUCACUGAAGAGAAAAGACGAAACAUGUUUGACCUGCACUCAGUUUGGACAGAGUCUGGGAUGCCAACAGAGUCUCAGGAAUCACAUGACGAUCCACACUGAAGAGAAACCGUUCACAUGUGAUCAAUGCAGCAAAACCUUUUUGAGGGCUUCAGAGUUAAAGAGCCAUCUUAGAGUUCACACAAAGGAGAAACCUUAUUCCUGUUCUCUGUGUGGAAAGAGAUUUACAUGUCAGUCAAAUUUAAAAGCACAUCAGAAGAUCCACACUGGUGUGAGAGAGUAUGUGUGCUCUGAGUGUGAGAAGACUUUUAUUACAGCUAGACAACUGAAAAGGCACCAGAGGAACCACACUGGAGAGAAACCGUUCUCAUGUGUUCAGUGCGGGACGAGUUUUAAACAUUCGUCAGACCUUAAUAAACACAUGUUGAUCCACACUGGAGACAAAACACACAAAUGUGAUCAAUGCAGCAAGACAUUUUUGAGGGCUUCAGAUCUGAAGGUCCAUCUUAGAGUUCACACAAAGGAGAAACCUUAUUCAUGUUCAUUGUGUGAAAAGAGAUUUACAUGUCAGUCAAGUUUAAAAGCACAUCAGAAGAUCCACACUGGUGUGAGAGAGUUUAUGUGCUUUGCUUGUGAGAAGACUUUUAUUACAACUGAACAACUGAAACGUCACCAAAGGAUUCACACUGGAGAGAGACCGUACGUGUGUUCACAAUGUGACAAGUCAUUUAGUCUGUUAGGAAACCUGAAUGCGCAUCAGAGGAUCCACACUGGAGAGAAACCAUUUGUGUGUUCACACUGCGAAAAGAGAUUCAGUCUGUUAGGAAACCUAAAAAAACAUGAGAUGAUCCACACUGGAGAGAAACCGUUCACAUGUGUUCAGUGUGGGAAGAGUUUCAGACAGUUAUCAAAUCUUAAUCUACACAUGUUGAUUCACACUGGAGAGAAAAAACACACAAAUGUCACUCAAAUGUGAUCAAUGUGGCAAAAGUUUUUUUGAGGGCUUUAAGUCUUGAAGUUCCUCCAUGCAUUUGAGAAUUCUAGGUUUCUAUCAGGGAGGGUACACACCCCGGCACUGCAAGUCGGCGGCUGUCCACAGCACCCAGCCAUGACUCACGACACUGUUCAUAUUUCUGCCGCACCACAGAGCAACAUCUGAAUAGUUUCACGUUAAAUAACAUUCGAAAGUGCGCGUCAGGUGUGUGAUACUUUCACCUGUCAUGUGGAUGGUGCAUCCGGUGCAAAGCCUUUUAGAAUCCAUACACUGUUAGACUUUGCAACAAUUUUACUGUAACUUACUGCAAAAACGGGCAGUAAAAUACUGCUUGCAUUCUGUACAGUACAAUACUGCAAUGUGCACUGUAUUAUGGGUAUUUUAGUACUUUUGCAGUAACUUCCUGUAUAUUAAGGAUUUGCGGUAUUCAACUGUAAGUAAAAGCAGUACUGCUACUGUAAAAAGAUGAUAGACUUUUGAAUAUUAGUGUUGAUUUAUUUCACAGGUUAAAGCUGUGACUUGCAGCAUAUAAUAUAUAUGUCCUAAAAUAGUGUCAAGAUAUUUUACUCAACCAAAUGUUGGCGUGGGAUGAUGAUGGUUUUCAAGUUAUACUGGAGUUUAGAAAAGUCAAGGUUAUAAUACCGCCAACAUUUUCUGUAAUACCGUUCCUAAGGUAUGUUUUUAAGCAACAGUAUCUCCAGCAGAAAAAAUAUACAAAGUUGUCAUUUUUAAAUUAAAACAUCAGUGUUUUUUUGUAACUAAUGUUAUUAAGGAGAAUGUCCUAAUGUGUGAAAAUACUUUACCUCAGUGCACAAUUGUGUAUAAAAAAGAAAAAUCAAAAACAGCCAAUUCAAAAAACGCCACUUUAGAGCUAGUAUUUGAAGGAUUCCCUUGCAUAAUGUGGAGUAUUAUUAUGACUUAGUGAUGACAAAACAGCUCACACAUCAAGAUUUAUAAAGCUGAAUGAACAGUCCUUCAUUUCUUUGCUGCAUCCGUGUAUUCACUUACGUUAUAUUAAGCCUAUAAAAGCUUAACCAAAGCAAACACUAACCAGAUUACAUUACAGACAUCAAAAUAAAAGAGAGAAUUCGCCUUAGAUGUGGCUUUAACUUACCUGUUCUGUAGUGAAAUGUUGUUUUCAUGUACGUUGAGGGAAAUCGUUAAGUUAAAGACACAAAGACGUGUGUCAAAUCACAUAAUUAUGAACUAUUAUGCGACAUUUUGGACUAUAAAUAGUCAGUAGUUCAUUCACACCGAAAAAUAAAAGCCCCAACAUGAUUAAGAGCACUUUAAAUAGCCGAAUAACACUUAUUUAUUCAACCGUUAAAUAAUAAGGGUGUAAUUUUGAAUACUGCAUUACCUUAAUGGUCAGUUUUGCACACGUCACGUCGAAGGGGCGGAGCUAUCAGACACUGAUGUUGGAUUACUUCAUUAUUUUAUUGUGAACGCAAAAUUCCCCCACAUAAGGGAUUAUGGGGCCUCCCGAUGGUAAAUGCGGGUGUACUCAUGAAAAAGGUGGAAAACGGAGACUAUAAAAAUGAGAGAACUCUUAAAGAGGAGAUGCAAAGAGGAAAUCCGGAUUUCACAAUAUAUCAUUAAAACAUGUUUAUUAAAAUAUGGUUUACAUCCAGGGAGACAAAUAAAGACAAUUAUAAGACAGUGCAUAGAAUUUAGGAAACCAGUCAGUCUCUUCACACUCCAUCACAGUAGGGGGCGAUAUGCACAUCGGUUUGCAACUCAACAUAAAACCAAGAAGAAGAAGACGUUUAAAGUUUGCGUCUCUCGUAUCCUCCGAUCUGCAUCGCAAACUCCACACCAACGAAAUGACUUUUUAAAAGCCUUCAUCUUCCAAGCAUCAGAGAAUCUCGCACAGCGAGAGAGAGUCCCACUAAACUCAGAUGAACAACUAGGUCACACCAGGUCAGACUGGAAAGAUCCGACUGCAUCUCUUGACUUCUCGCCUUUAUUCUUCAUAUUUUGGGUCUGUUUCAGAGUUAAACAG